ACGUAGGGUGCAAGCGUUAAUCGGAAUUACUGGGCGUAAAGCGUGCGCAGGCGGUGAUGUAAGACAGAUGUGAAAUCCCCAGGCUCAACCUGGGAACUGCAUCCGAUACUGGAUGGCUUGAAUUCGGGAGAGGGAUGCAGAAUUCCAGGUGUAGCGGUGAAAUGCGUAGAUAUCUGGAGGAAUACCGGUGGCGAAGGCGGCAUCCUGGACCGACAUUGACGCUGAGGAGCGAAAGCUAGGGGAGCGAACAGGA
rnacentral:rRNA from 1 species